UACGUAGGGAGCGAGCGUUAUCCGGAAUUAUUGGGCGUAAAGGGUGCGUAGGCGGCGAAACAAGUCUUAAGUUAAAAUGCUAGGCUCAACCUAGUAGUGCUUAAGAUACUGUAAGCUAGAGUUAGGAAGAGGCAAGUGGAACUCCAUGUGUAGCGGUAAAAUGCGUAAAUAUAUGGAAGAACACCAGUGGCGAAGGCGGCUUGCUAGGCCAUAACUGACGCUGAGGCACGAAAGCGUGGGGAGCAAACAG
rnacentral:rRNA from 1 species